UGGGGAAUCUUCCGCAAUGGGCGCAAGCCUGACGGAGCAACGCCGCGUGAGUGAAGAAGGUCUUCGGAUCGUAAAGCUCUGUUGACGGGGACGAACGUGCCAGAGGUGAAUAAACUCUAGCAAUGACGGUACCUGUCGAGGAAGCCACGGCUAACUACGUGCCAGCAGCCGCGGUAAUACGUAGGUGGCGAGCGUUGUCCGGAAUCAUUGGGCGUAAAGGGAGCGCAGGCGGGCAUAUAAGUCUUUCUUAAAAGUGCGGGGCUCAACCCCGUGAUGGGAAAGAAACUAUAUGUCUUGAGUACAGGAGAGGAAAGCGGAAUUCCCAGUGUAGCGGUGAAAUGCGUAGAUAUUGGGAGGAACACCAGUGGCGAAGGCGGCUUUCUGGACUGCAACUGACGCUGAGGCUCGAAAGCCAGGGGAGCGAACGGGAUUAGAUACCCCGGUAGUCCUGGCCGUAAACGAUGGAUACUAGGUGUGGGAGGUAUCGACCCCUACCGUGCCGGAGUUAACGCAAUAAGUAUCCCGCCUGGGGAGUACGGUCGCAAGACUG
rnacentral:rRNA from 1 species